GACGAACGCUGGCGGCGUGCUUAACACAUGCAAGUCGAACGGAAAGGCCCUGCUUUUGUGGGGUGCUCGAGUGGCGAACGGGUGAGUAACACGUGAGUAACCUGCCCUUGACUUUGGGAUAACUUCAGGAAACUGGGGCUAAUACCGGAUAGGAGCUCCUGCUGCAUGGUGGGGGUUGGAAAGUUUCGGCGGUUGGGGAUGGACUCGCGGCUUAUCAGCUUGUUGGUGGGGUAGUGGCUUACCAAGGCUUUGACGGGUAGCCGGCCUGAGAGGGUGACCGGCCACAUUGGGACUGAGAUACGGCCCAGACUCCUACGGGAGGCAGCAGUGGGGAAUAUGGCACAAGGGGCGGAAGCCUGAUGCAGCAACGCCGCGUGCGGGAUGACGGCCUUCGGGUGGUAAACCGCUUUCGCCUGUGACGAAGCGUGAGUGACGGUAAUGGGUAAAGAAGCACCGGCUAACUACGU
rnacentral:rRNA from 1 species